AAGCAUUAUCUCCCAGUCUGCAUCCUCCAUCAACCCCUCAGCGUGCCCUCCCUUCGCCCUCACCGGUGCUCCUGACUCCCACGGCCAUCUCUCAAACCUCUUCUCACGCCAAAGCUGUCGAACGUCUCGAGCAAGUCAAGCCCCUCCGUCGUUAUUCCUGACCAUGCUUCCCCGCCAUCUGCCUUCCUUCUCUGCCUCUAGAGCCUCCGUUUGCCAAGUCCAGUAGAAUCCUACAGAUAUGCCCUCCCUCAGCUUUCCACAAUGUUAGACAUGAGUGUCUCACCCUUCCUUUACUGAAUGUCCCUUUUUGGCUCCUGAGAACAUUUUUCUCGGUUUUCAUGCUAAUGAAACUCUUCCUUUCCUUCCUCCACUACGUCGUCUCCCAAUCAGUUUGAAAGUUCCCUCAAACAUCCUGCAACAUUCCUUCCACCCCUCUCGCAGGGCAGUGCUUCUCCAACUCGAAUGGGCAUGUGACUUACCUUGGAAUCCUACUAAAAAGCAGAUUCUGAUGCCACAGGUCUGCAAUGGAGCCUGAGAGCCCGCAUUUCUAAUGAGCUCCACAGGAGGCUGACGCUGCUCAUCCAGUGACACGCUAAGGAAGUGAAAUUAUGUGAGAGGGAGAGAGUCCUGCCGAAUCCUCAGGCUGGAAGUUGUCUGAAACGGGAUGGUUUUCCCAGAAGAUGUGUUGAUCACUGAGCAACAAGGAGAUUCAGCUGCUCUCAAUUCCAAAUGAACCAAACUUACACCCCGGCACACGUGAUUGUCCACAUACAUCCGCUGCCUUUCCUCAUUGACUGUGCCCUUCAACCAACGUUUGAUUUCAGAUUCGUGUUCCCUGGCCCAUUCAGCUGAGCCAGUCAUUCCACCUUUAGGGGAUGUUGAUGAUCCCCCAGGAAGAUAACCAUCACGGUCCUGCCACAGCCCACAGCUUUGAGAGGCUGGUUUCUUUCCUCCUUUCCUCCUGUGUGUUAGAAAGAUUUCUCCCACAGUAGGAGAAUUCAUUCAGUAGCAUAUUUGGUCCUGGUGAUUACGAGAUGCCUCAGCUGCACUCUGUUAUUCAAUCACCAACAGGAAAAGGCCAUUUAUUGCUCCCGGUGGUUCAGCAGUGGAUGGACGUUGGAUUUCAAACCUUCCAUGAGUUCACUAAAACUCUGCUCCACAGCAAAUAAAGCGGCAUUAGAACACAAUAUUUGGGAGCAGUUUUUUGACGAAAGGCCUUAGCUACUGAGGAUACUAUUUCAGGCAACCAGAAAAUAAAGACUGAAUUAUAAAGCAAUUUGUGUCAAGAUGCAAGUACUAGCUACCGAAACCUCAAAUGAAUGUUAUAUUAUCACCAUUAUUGAGAUGAAUCAAAAUUAAUACACAGUGAAACAUUUGUCUAAAGAUGGAAAGAAUUUGUGGGUUUACUAUCACGACACCCAACAGUAGACAUUAGCAUUGGUCAAAUACUAAACGCAAAUAUUCAGAUAAGUAAGUCUGAAGAGGAUAGGAAACAGAUUUUCCUUUUGAGUUCAUCGAGCAAAACCUGACACCUCUUGGAGUUAUCUGAUUGAGAAUGAUUAAUUGAAGACGGAGAUGAAGUCAGACUUGAUCUUACAGUAAUGGACGGAACACUUCUCCAUUUUGUCCUCAUAUUCCAAGCAAUUCAUCCUUGGAGGGGUCCCAGGCUCGGGAGAGGCAGUGUUGAAAACACAUGGGUCAUCUUGACACUGCACAAUUACUACGCUGAAAAUCCUCCACGGUUGUCUGUUAUCUGUGGAAUAAAGUCUCAUGUAGACUGAUGGGCGUCAACCUUCAGAUCAGUUCACUCUGCUUCAGUGGCCCAGGGUUCACCGGUUCGGAUCCUGGGUGUGGACCUAGCGCCGCUCAUCAAGCCAUGCUGUGGUGGCAUCCCAGGUAUAAGAAUUAGAAGGACUUAUAACUAGGAUAUACAACUAUGCACUGGGGCUUUGGGGAGAAAAAAAAAAAAGAGGAAGAUUGGCAAUAGAUGCUAGCUCAGGGCCAAGCUUCCUCACCAAAAAAACAAAAAAAAAGAGUGUUUUCACGACUCUGAAUUGCUGCUCAUUCAUUAUCUAUCAUAUAUUCUCUUAUCUUCUCAAUUACGCCCUCAUGUGUCUCUAGUCUCCAAUUUGAUUUUGUGUUCCCUGAAAUCAAGGAUUGG
ensembl:lncRNA